rnacentral:rRNA from 1 species
GGAGGGUUGCGAGCGUUGUUCGGAUUAACUGGGCGUAAAGGGAGCGCAGGGCGGUCGGAUAAGUCUGAAGUGAAAGCCCGGGGGCUCAACCUCGGAAGUGCUUUGGAUACUGUCUGACUUGAGUUCGUAAGAGGAGAGCGGAAUUCCAGGUGUAGCGGUGAAAUGCGUAGAUAUCUGGAGGAACACCGGUGGCGAAAGCGGCUCUCUGGUACGAUACUGACGCUGAGGCUCGAAAGCGUGGGGAGCGAACGGGAUUAGAUACCCCGGUAGUCCACGCCGUAAACGUUGUGCACUAGGUGUGAAAGGUAUUGACCCCUUUCGUGCCGUAGCUAACGCAUUAAGUGCACCGCCUGGGGAGUACGGUCGCAAGACUG